GACGUAGGGGGCCAGCGUUGUUCGGAAUUACUGGGUGUAAAGGGUUCGUAGGCGGUGUGGCAAGUCGGGAGUGAAAUCUCUGGGCUCAACCCAGAGACUGCUUCCGAAACUGCUGUGCUUGAGUGUGAGAGAGGCUCGUGGAAUUGCAGGUGUAGCGGUGAAAUGCGUAGAUAUCUGGAGGAACACCGGUGGCGAAGGCGACAUCCUGGACCGGUAUUGACGCUGAGGCGCGAAAGCCAGGGGAGCAAACGGG
rnacentral:rRNA from 1 species